AAAAAAAAAAAUGUGUCUGGGUAAUUCGUUCAUCCUGGUAAUUUAAUAAAGAAAAUGUCUAAGAAAUUAAGUACUAUGAUAUUAUUUGGCUAUUAUUAUUUACUAAAUUAGAUUGUUUUACUGCUUAUUUAUAUUUCAAAAACUUAUCAAAGCCUUGGUUUAAUCAAAUGCAGAAAAAGGAAAUGACAUCAUCGAGAGGAUCUGUGGACCCUCAUUACUGUGUCGAGGAAAUAAACAGAGGCUUGUUGCGGCUGCGUUAUCACUCCCUGUCUGUUUGGAGCACAACCAAAAGCUACAAAUCUGCAGAGCUGCCCAGUGGCGGGCGAGCAUGAAAUAACUCAUCAGGUUACGAGUCAUUUUCAAGGGGUGACUGAGUAAAGGUGGCUGUAUUAAGUGUGAAAGGAAUCAGGGCCAAGAGCGCAAUCACUCUCUGAUUGGACUGAUCUGAUUUUUCCUCCGCAAGUGGGGAAAAAAACAUUCUGCAUUUCUGAAGCAGCAUGUCAUUCACCGAAUGAGCAGAACUGCCUUCAAAAUAGGCAAAUCUAACAUAAGAAUGGUGGCAAGACUUUACCAAGUAAGACGGACUGGAGAUGUUUUCUCAGCAGGAUGGUUUGGCAACACUGAGAAUCCCCAGUGAGAAAGAAAGAAAAAUGACGGGCAGCGGAGAGAGGAAUGAAUUCUCAUUUGGCUAGAGACCCACAACCACCCACCCACAUACAGGAGAACAAGGACUCAGUUGGCUGAAGUUUCUGAUAAACCACUGCAGUAUGGGAAAGCUCAUCACUCAUCUUCAAAUGGUUAUCAGAAAAAAAAAUAAACGGCACACACUGGGCAUUGGUUUGUAAAAAACUUCCAGGAGAUGCAGAGAAACCUGUGCUCACAAUACAUGCAUACAUUUACAUACAUACAUUUAUCAGCAAGGAUGCAUUAAAUGGAAAUCAAGAAAGACAUUUAUAAUGUUAAAAAAAAAUUAUAAUUGAAAUAAGUGCAGUUCUUUUGAACUUUCUAUUCAUCAGAGAAUCUUUAAAAAAUAUAUUAGUUUCCACUAAAAAGC
ensembl:lncRNA